UUUUCAAUUGCUGAAGAAUAAUGAGAGAGUCUGUAUUUGCCGGGGCUCAAAUUCAUGAGCUUCUUUUCAAGUCUGAGUAGUUGAGUUUCUCCUAUUUGCUAUGAAUUGUUUCCUGGCUGAAGAGUAAAUUCCAGAGUUCUUAUUCCAACCUGCUGUCAGGCCUGUGUACCUCUCUGGAAAGGCACAGUUAGAUGGGCUGUAUCCACCUUUCCUGAAGUCUGUGGCUUCACACUGUCUAAGGGGAGGGCAAUGCCAGGGUCACCUCUCCUGCUGGACUGUGCUCAUGUCAGGAGUCUGGCUUUCUGAAGAGAGCUAAAGGAACAUGAAGCAUCUGAUGUAGCUUCCCUCAACUCAUUCUUUUCUUGCCCUUUCUUACAUUCCAGCCCUGCUUGUCCUGGAAUUCUCUCCAUUCCCUGUGUUAGGGAUAGCAUAGGUGCCUCUCAGAAUGAAGAGGCAGAGAUUAAGCUCUGCACCUUCUCUCCCUUCCCCUCAUGUUGGGGCAGGUGCUUGCAAUGCCCAGAUCCAUCAGCAAAACCUGUGCUCAUCCCAGAAUUGACUGCAGAAGGAGGAAAUUGCAUUUCCAUUUCCUCCUGCAAGGAGAGGUGGGGUGGAGCUGAGAGGUUUGGGUCAGUUUAUGCUUCCCCAGUUCCAGGUGAAGGAUUCAGGCCUUCCUGGGUGGAAGCUGUUAUUGAAGGACUUGGAAUUGGAUUCUGGAACAAUGGGUCUAAAGUGUGCUCUGUUGAAUAUCACCUACUUGUCAAAACCUGCCAUAACACAAGGAAUUAAAAGGAAUCUGUCUUGCAGUAUGUGCAAAUUGAAAUGAGAUACAGAUUUCUAGAGGAGGGCUUUCUGAAUCAGCUGUGAUAAAAAAAGGAGGGGGGAAAAAAAAAGGCUUGGUUGCAUCUAAACACUGGAAGACGAGAGACGCUACAGCAUGCCCAUAUUGUGGUGGGAAAGAACCAGGAGAAGAAGAGCAGUAGAAAGUCUGACAACUGUGCUGGAGUUGGAGUGCAAUCUGAUAGGGGAAACUCAGUGCAGCUUCAAUAUAUCUGGCCCCUGCAUUAAAAUAGCUGCAGGCAGCACAUGCUUCUCUGUGUGGUUUAGAAUGUGCUUUGUGUAGUACAAAGAAAUAUGGAUAAGAUUUGUCAUGUGCCUUGUUGUGCUCUGCUAAGCAAGGAGGAUCUACUUCUGCCAUCACACUAAAUCCUGUCCCCAUCACCCUAAUUAACAGGGAAUCAGUUGGAUAUUCCAAUGCUGUUGGUAGAUGCUGUACAGGCACCAGUUUUGCAUUUUUGUCUAAAAUUACUUUAGAAAAAAUUUGCAUUUUGAGGCGGGU